rnacentral:rRNA from 1 species
CAAUUAGAGGGCAAGUCUGGUGCCAGCAGCCGCGGUAAUUCCAGCUCUAAUAGCGUAUAUUAAUAUUGUUGCAGUUAAAAAGCUCGUAGUUGAAAUUUGGAACUUUAUUAUAUUGGUUUACCUUUUGGUGAACUAUAUAAUGGGUUUCUUCCUACUAGAGUUCGAUUCUGUUCUUAACUGAAUGGACGUAGCUAUCUCUCGGGGUAGUCAGUUGGUUAUUAUAUCUCCACUAAUGAGCGGAGAGGGGUAAAACCUUCAAAGCAAGUUAUGUGGAUCAAGGUAUAGUGAUUAAUUGGAGUUCUAGUUCAUUUACUUUGAGAAAAUUAGAGUGUUUAAAGCAGCCUCUUGGGGCACUGAAUACAUUAGCAUGGGAUAAUAAAAUAGGAUCUUCACAAUAUAUUUUAUUGGUUUAAAUUGCGUAUGAAGAUAAUGAUUAAUAGGG